GAUGAACGCUAGCGGCAGGCUUAACACAUGCAAGUCGAGGGGUAGGAGAAGCUUGCUUUUCUGAGACCGGCGCACGGGUGCGUAACGCGUAUGCAAUCUACCUUUCACAGAGGGAUAGCCCAGAGAAAUUUGGAUUAAUACCUCAUAGUAUAAUUGAGUGGCAUCAUUUAAUUAUUAAAGAUUUAUCGGUGAAAGAUGAGCAUGCGUCCCAUUAGCUAGUUGGUAUGGUAACGGCAUACCAAGGCAACGAUGGGUAGGGGUCCUGAGAGGGAGAUCCCCCACACUGGUACUGAGACACGGACCAGACUCCUACGGGAGGCAGCAGUGAGGAAUAUUGGACAAUGGGCGCAAGCCUGAUCCAGCCAUGCCGCGUGCAGGAUGACGGUCCUAUGGAUUGUAAACUGCUUUUAUACAGGAAGAAACACCUCUACGUGUAGAGACUUGACGGUACUGUAAGAAUAAGGAUCGGCUAACUCCGUGCCAGCAGCCGCGGUAAUACGGAGGAUCCAAGCGUUAUCCGGAAUCAUUGGGUUUAAAGGGUCCGUAGGCGGUCAGGUAAGUCAGUGGUGAAAGCCCAUCGCUCAGCGGUGGAACGGCCAUUGAUACUGUCUGACUUGAAUUAUUAGGAAGUAACUAGAAUAUGUAGUGUAGCGGUGAAAUGCUUAGAGAUUACAUGGAAUACCAAUUGCGAAGGCAGGUUACUACUAAUUGAUUGACGCUGAUGGACGAAAGCGUGGGUAGCGAACAGGAUUAGAUACCCUGGUAGUCCACGCCGUAAACGAUGGAUACUAGCUGUUGGGAGCAAUCUCAGUGGCUAAGCGAAAGUGAUAAGUAUCCCACCUGGGGAGUACGAACGCAAGUUUGAAACUCAAAGGAAUUGACGGGGGCCCGCACAAGCGGUGGAGCAUGUGGUUUAAUUCGAUGAUACGCGAGGAACCUUACCAAGGCUUAAAUGUAGAUUGACCGGUUGGAAACAG
rnacentral:rRNA from 1 species